AGCUCUUAAGACUGAUGAUGAUGAUGAUGAUGAUGAUCAUCAUCAUCAUCAUCAUCAUCAUCAUCAUCAUCAUCAUCAUCAUCAUCAUCAUCAUCA
rnacentral:pre_miRNA from 1 species